rnacentral:rRNA from 1 species
AUGGCCGCCACCGCCACCGCCUCCACGUCGCUCCCGGCGAGGACCUUCUCAAGCGCCCGCCCCGUCGCAUGGAUCGCCGCCCGGUGCCUCCCAAGAAGGGCAGGAGGAGAGAGCAUGCUGUCGCCCUCCCCUCUCCGCUUCUCCGCCGUGAGAACGCGGCGAGCGGAGGCAGCUCGCGCGUCCGCGGCGGGCGCGGGCGGAGCGCCGGCUGCAGCCCUGCCGGCGGCGCUGCUCUUCGACUGCGACGGCGUGCUCGUGGACACCGAGAAGGACGGCCACCGCAUUUCCUUCAACGAGACGUUCGCCGAGAGAGAAUUAGGCGUGAGCUGGGAUGUUGAACUGUACGGAGAAUUGCUCAAGAUAGGUGGUGGGAAGGAAAGGAUGACAGCAUAUUUCAACAAGACAGAGUGGCCAGCUAAAGCGCCAAAGACUGACGAAGAAAGAAAGGAAUUUGUUGCUUCUCUUCACAAGAGGAAAACAGAAUUGUUUAUGGCCCUAAUUGAGAAGAAGUUGCUUCCUCUCCGUCCAGGCGUUCAAAGGUUAAUUGAUGAAGCUCUAGGAAAAGGGGUGAAAGUUGCAGUAUGCAGUACUUCAAAUGAGAAAGCUGUUUCAGCAAUAGUAUCGUGCUUACUGGGGCCUGACCGAGCAGAAAAGAUUACCAUAUUCGCUGGGGAUGUGGUUCCUCGCAAAAAACCUGAUCCGGCAAUCUACUUGCUAGCGGCAACUACAUUGGAAGUUGAUCCAUCUAGCUGUGUUGUUGUUGAAGACAGUAACAUAGGGCUUUCAGCAGCCAAAGCUGCUGGUAUGAAGUGCAUUGUAACAAAAAGCGGGUACACCGCAGAUGAGGACUUUGUGAUAGCGGAUGCUGUGUUUGAUUGCAUCGGCGACCCUCCAGAAGGGCGCUUUGAUUUAGAGUUCUGCGCCAACCUCCUCCAGAAACAAUUCGUGAGCUGA